rnacentral:rRNA from 1 species
CGGCGGGUGCUAACGUCCGUCGUGAAGAGGGAAACAACCCAGACCGCCAGCUAAGGUCCCAAAGUCAUGGUUAAGUGGGAAACGAUGUGGGAAGGCCCAGACAGCCAGGAUGUUGGCUUAGAAGCAGCCAUCAUUUAAAGAAAGCGUAAUAGCUCACUGGUCGAGUCGGCCUGCGCGGAAGAUGUAACGGGGCUAAACCAUG